CUCCACUCUGUUAGAGAUGAUAGUUUCGGAAACAGAAAACUGUAUGGAGACCAAUGACAUAAUUAGCAGAAUGUCGACCAAAAUCCGUCUUGCUCCACCUUCUCCUGCUGUUGGCCUCUGGGUUUCACAUUUAUACAUCCGGUGAAAUGUCUGUCUCAUUGUUCUAUCUGUGACUCAACAACAGAUGAAAGGGGUUUAGUUAUCUUAAUCUUUUACUAAAGUAAAAAAAAAGUUGCUAGCUAGUAGUAGUGUAGUCUUAUUUUUUACCAGAGUUGGCGAAAAUCAAAUGAUUGAUUUCAAGACUGGGCUGAAAAUCGCUCAGUUCUCAUUUCAAUAGCUGAGGCAGCCGAUAAUGCAGAUCUGGCGCAAUAUCGGACUCCGGACUCAACUCUGACUCUUGUGUACUCUUGUGUUUGGAGUCGACUCUUGCUCUACUCUCAAAACACUGAAACAGGACUUUGCUGGCCCAUUGGAAAACACCCACUGAAGAACCAAAGCCUCCAAAAGGAAAGACAAUAAAGAAACUUGCUCAAAUAUCCCAAAAAAUAACAAACCUCAGAAGCACAAAACACAACAGGCAAAGAAAUCACACUGUAGUUGCAAGCCCAAGAAGAGGAGGAUAAACAAAGCUGCCAGAAUACAGACACAACCAAAGAAUUUGCUCAAAUAGCAGCCACAAACAAAGAUUUUCCUCAAACCCCAGACAGAAACAAAUAAGUCUCUCAAAUGCCCCCAAUAAGGGAAGUGGACAUGGAGGCUACUGAAACAUGGGACGCAGCGGACAUUCUGACCUACCAGAUUCGGACAUCCUAUGGAUACUUACACACACACAUCAGUGCACAGUACACAAAGACUCCUGUUUCAAUAUUUUUUUUACCAGACGUUUUGCUGAAGAAAUGGUUUCUCUUUAUUUGUUGUGUUUCUUUUGUAAAAUUAUGUUGGUAAAUAAUAUUUCAUAAAACAAUGUUAGAUUUCAGAACCAAGAGUUGUACAUAGAUACUGUAUGUCUACAGUUGAUUUCUAUUAAAAAAGUAUCUCAA